UGGGGUAUCGCCAAGCGGUAAGGCAACGGACUCUGACUCCGUUAUCCCUAGGUUCGAAUCCUAGUACCCCAGCCA
rnacentral:tRNA from 1 species